rnacentral:rRNA from 1 species
AUCUACGGCCAUACUCCGAAUGUGCUCUCAUCUCGGAAGCUAAGCAGGGUUGGGCCUGGUUAGUACUUGGAUGGGAGACAUGCAGGAAUCCAUAGGAU